rnacentral:rRNA from 1 species
AUUGAACGCUGGCGGCAGGCCUAACACAUGCAAGUCGAACGGUAGCACAGAGAGCUUGCUCUCGGGUGACGAGUGGCGGACGGGUGAGUAACGUCUGGGAAACUGCCCGAUGGAGGGGGAUAACUACUGGAAACGGUAGCUAAUACCGCAUAACGUCGCAAGACCAAAGUGGGGGACCUUCGGGCCUCACACCAUCGGAUGUGCCCAGAUGGGAUUAGCUAGUAGGUGGGGUAAUGGCUCACCUAGGCGACGAUCCCUAGCUGGUCUGAGAGGAUGACCGGCCACACUGGAACUGAGACACGGUCCAGACUCCUACGGGAGGCAGCAGUGGGGAAUAUUGCACAAUGGGCGCAAGCCUGAUGCAGCCAUGCCGCGUGUAUGAAGAAGGCCUUCGGGUUGUAAAGUACUUUCAGCGGGGAGGAAGGCGGUGGAGUUAAUAACUUCACCGAUUGACGCUACCCGCAGAAGAAGCACCGGCUAACUCCGUGCCAGCAGCCGCCGUAA